GAUGAACGCUAGCGGCGUGCCUAAUACAUGCAAGUCGAGCGAACAGAUGAGGAGCUUGCUCCUCUGACGUUAGCGGCGGACGGGUGAGUAACACGUGGAUAACCUACCUAUAAGACUGGGAUAACUUCGGGAAACCGGAGCUAAUACCGGAUAAUAUAUUGAACCGCAUGGUUCAAUAGUGAAAGACGGUUUUGCUGUCACUUAUAGAUGGAUCCGCGCCGCAUUAGCUAGUUGGUAAGGUAACGGCUUACCAAGGCAACGAUGCGUAGCCGACCUGAGAGGGUGAUCGGCCACACUGGAACUGAGACACGGUCCAGACUCCUACGGGAGGCAGCAGUAGGGAAUCUUCCGCAAAGGGCGAAAGCCUGACGGAGCAACGCCGCGUGAGUGAUGAAGGUCUUCGGAUCGUAAAACUCUGUUAUUAGGGAAGAACAAAUGUGUAAGUAACUAUGCACGUCUUGACGGUACCUAAUCAGAAAGCCACGGCUAACUACGUG
rnacentral:rRNA from 1 species